GACGAACGCUGGCGGCGUGCUUAACACAUGCAAGUCGAACGAAGUGGCGAACGGGUGAGUAACGCGUAAUCAACCUGCCCUUCAGAGGGGGACAACAGUUGGAAACGACUGCAAAUACCGCAUACUGAAGGCGGGGUUUGCGUCGGAUCAGCUAGUUGGAGGGGUAACGGCCCACCAAGGGGAUGAUCAGUAGCCGGUCUGAGGGGAGGAACGGCCAAAACUGGACAGGAACACCGGCCAAACUCCUUCGGGGGGCAGCAGUGGGGAAACUUCCGAAAAGGGGGAAAAGCUGACGGAGCAACGCCGGGGGGGUGGUGACGGCCUUCGGGUUUGAAAGCUCUGUUAAUCGGGGCGCGGUACCGGAAUAGAAAGCCACGGCUAACUACGUGCCAGCAGCCGCGGUAAUAC
rnacentral:rRNA from 1 species